AGUGAACGCUGGCGGUAGGCCUAACACAUGCAAGUCGAACGGCAGCACAGUAAGAGCUUGCUCUUACGGGUGGCGAGUGGCGGACGGGUGAGGAAUACAUCGGAAUCUACUUUUUCGUGGGGGAUAACGUAGGGAAACUUACGCUAAUACCGCAUACGACCUACGGGUGAAAGCAGGGGAUCUUCGGACCUUGCGCGAUUGAAUGAGCCGAUGUCGGAUUAGCUAGUUGGCGGGGUAAAGGCCCACCAAGGCGACGAUCCGUAGCUGGUCUGAGAGGAUGAUCAGCCACACUGGAACUGAGACACGGUCGAGACUCCUACGGGAGGAAGCAGUGGGGAAUAUUGGACAAUGGGCGCGAGCCUGAUACAGCCAUACCGCGGGGGGGAAGAAGGACUUCGGGUUGGAAAGCGAUUUAGUUGGGAAAGAAAAGCAGCAGGUUAAUACGCGGCUGUUCUGACGGUACCGAGAGAAUAAGCACCGGCUAACUUCGUG
rnacentral:rRNA from 1 species